CGUCUCGCCCCUCAACACGUCACGAGGGAGUCGGCAGGGGCUCCCAGUGGACAGCGCUGCUUUCCUAAACACCAGUUAACCACAACCGACUCGACCUGAAGGUUUCAGCGGUGUUGGCUUGAUGGGAUCCAGGCGGGUGACAAAGUGAUGGUCUAAGGACUCGCAGUCACAGAGGUGCUUGCGCGUGGAAUGUUGCGCUGGUCGGUGCACCUAGAAGGAGGGCCGCGGAGAGUCAACCAUGCUGCUGUGGCGGUGGGGCACAAGGUGUACUCCUUUGGAGGCUACUGCUCUGGGGAGGACUAUGAGACACUCCGUCAGAUUGAUGUGCAUGUCUUCAACACAGUGUCUCUGCGCUGGAUGAAGUUGCCUCCAGUGAGGAUUGGAGGAGGACAUGAACGUGCCCGUGAAGUGCCAUAUAUGCGCUACGGCCACACCGCUGUGCUGCUGGAUGAGAUUAUCUACCUCUGGGGUGGUCGUAACGAUACAGAGGGGGCCUGCAAUGUGCUUUAUGCCUUUGAUGUCAACACCCACAGAUGGUUCACACCCAAGAUUUCGGGGACCGUUCCAGGGGCAAGGGACGGCCACUCCUCCUGCGUCCUGGGAAAGGCAAUGUAUAUAUUUGGAGGCUACGAGCAGCUGGCUGACUGCUUCUCCAAUGACAUCCACAAGCUGGACACCAUCACCAUGGUUUGGUCAUUAAUUAAUGCCAGAGGCACUCAGGCACGCUGGAGGGACUUCCACUCGGCCACCAUCAUCGGGACAAAGAUGUUUGUGUUUGGAGGGCGAGCAGACCGCUUUGGUCCCUUCCACUCCAACAACGAGAUCUACUGCAACAAGAUCAAAGUGUUCGAUACACAGACCAACUGCUGGCUGAGCACACCUCCAACACAGCCGUUGCCAGAGGGACGCAGAAGUCAUUCAGCCUUUUCCUACAAAGGGGAGCUGUAUAUAUUUGGCGGGUACAACGCCCGUCUGGACCGGCACUUCAACGACCUAUGGAAAUUCAAUCCAGAAGCCUUUUCCUGGACGAAGGUAGAGCCGAAGGGAAAAGGCCCAUGCCCGCGGAGACGGCAGUGCUGUUGUAUGGUUGGAGAUCGAAUCAUCCUCUUUGGAGGAACCAGCCCCUGUCCAGAGCAAGGAAUGGGUGACGAAUUUAACCUCAUGGAUCAUUCAGACCUGUAUAUCUUAGACUUCAGUGGGUUUACACAGGGACGCAGAGACCGUAUGGGACUGGCAGUACUCGGUGGCAUCCCCUGUGGCAUACACUUCCACGUGCCAGUCGCGUGUGCCUUCACACUGUUUAUCACUGGACAUAUGGUGGAGCAGACAUGACGGUGGCCAUAAUUGAGAGGAAGUUUGUAAUAAGAUGAUUUGUGCACCGAGGCCCUAAUUUGAAGACGUUAUGCAAAAUAGCUGUUAUUCAAUACAGUCUGGAGCAGUCAGGACUCCCACAUGAUAUCAGGUGGGAACUGGCAGCCAUGACCACCAACAGCAACAUCAGCAGGCCCAUCCCCUCCUCCCACGGCUGACGCCGCUGAUUGUGAAGCAGAACCAGGACUGCUCGCUUCAUUUCAGGACACCAAGCUUUUAUCUUUCUAAUCAACUGAGCACCGACUGACUGUUUUUUUGUAGAGUUUGGAUUUGUAUGCAGAUUUUAUUUCCCUCAUUCACUUCAAGUGACCAAAACACCCUGCGUAUGACUUCCUUGGACACCGUGAGCGCUCUCACGUCUACGGAUAUUUUAACGCCCCGAGACACUGGUUACGUGUGUGACAUCAGUUGUUCACACCUGUUCAUAUUUUUGUCUUCUUUCUAGCCUCUCUAGAAAUCCAAUCAGCCUAUGAUAAUCAUAGACUUCUAAUCUUAAGCACAGGAAGAGACAAGGACUUCAGCCAAAGGUCUUGAGAAGUAAACUCUUUGUUGAGGAUGUCGUCCUGAUGUCACACUCAGCCAAUCUCCCCUAAGAGACAAAUGUGAACCCCUUUUGUUUCGAGAAGUAAAGUAAUGUGGAGAAGACAUGCCUAAUGUAUUACUUUGGGGUUAAGCAGCGUGAGUAUUUGGGUAUGUAGAGUUAUGCUCCUUUGACUGACUUUCAAUGUUCACCUUUUACCUGCUUCAUCAGGUGUCUCAAAGGUGAUUUGCAGAGCGACUGAAGCAAGCCUUGUAAAAGCAUUGUGUCCAGCUACCUCCCUCAAUAGCAUGUAUCAUUGAGUCUUUGACAAGACUUCCCAUACACUACACGUCUACUUUUCCCCCAGAAAAAGAAAGAAGAAAGAAGCCUUUUCACUUUUGUAUUUGUGGUCGUCUGUUGUAUUCUUCCAAGAAAUGUUGUAGCGUAACUGGAAGAGUGCAACUCGCCCGCCCCCCGUUUACCCCGCGGUUUGUUUUUCAGUGCCAAACGUAGAGGGGAAUCAUGAUGCAAAUAUAUAUAUACUGUGUAUGUGUGCGAGCACAUGGUCCCCGUCUACACGCGCCUGCUUCAGUGUGCCUGCUGCUGCGGGAGAGAAGGUCACUAAUAUGCAUUAAGCAGUCGUUCUUCUUGUAGACAAUCCAGCAGUGAUCCGACUCCUCGUGACGCGCUCAUUCACAGUACGGUGAAAAAAACUGUGUGUUUGUGUACGAGUGUGAGCAAAGCUGAACCUGAGCAGAUGUUGUUAUUAAGGGCUGAUAUUAGAAUACACACUCACCACACAGCUGGAAAAUGACUUUGGAUGAUGCAAAUUAGGGAUGUUUAUUCAAGGUGUGUGUUUUUAUUCUAAUCUCAUAUUUUAGAUCAAAACUUUGAAAACACAGUAGUGGUGGUGGACUUUUUUUUAAAAACUUUUAUCUCCACCCACUUUCGGUACAUGAUGAGGUUGCUGAUAUUCUAUAGUUUUGAUGAAGUCAAGGAAUCCCAUAAAAAGACUGACAAUGUUGUCUCAACAUUUCUGAACCCCGUCUGUGGCUCUCGUUUGUUCCUACUGAACAGAGCGGUUCAUUUCGGAAAAGGAGUAAAUAAAGCAUUUUGUGGAGGACGGUGUAUUCAG